AUUGAACGCUGGCGGCAGGCUUAACACAUGCAAGUCGAGCGGAGAUGAGGUGCUUGCACCUUAUCUUAGCGGCGGACGGGUGAGUAAUGCUUAGGAAUCUGCCUAUUAGUGGGGGACAACAUUCCGAAAGGAAGGCUAAUACCGCUUACGCCCUACGGGGGAAAGCAGGGGAUCUUCGGACCUCGCGCUAAUAGAUGAGCCUAAGUCGGAUUAGCUAGUUGGUGGGGUAAAGGCCUACCAAGGCGACGAUCUGUAGCGGGUCUGAGAGGAUGAUCCACCACACUGGGACUGAGACACGGCCCAGACUCCUACGGGAGGCAGCAGUGGGGAAUAUUGGACAAUGGGCGGAAGCCUGAUCCAGCCAUGCCGCGUGUGUGAAGAAGGCCUUUUGGUUGUAAAGCACUUUAAGCGAGGAGGAGGCUACCUGGAUUAAUACUCUAGGAUAGUGGACGUUACUCGCUGAAUAAGCACCGGCUAACUCUGUGCCAGCCGCCGCCGUAACAC
rnacentral:rRNA from 1 species